rnacentral:rRNA from 1 species
AUUGAACGCUGGCGGCAGGCCUAACACAUGCAAGUCGAACGAGUGGCGGACGGGUGAGUAAUGUCUGGGAAACUGCCCGAUGGAGGGGGAUAACUUCUGGAAACGGUAGCUAAUACCGCAUACCAUCGGAUGUGCCCAGAUGGGAUUAGCUAGUAGGUGGGGUAACGGCUCACCUAGGCGCCGUUCCCUAGCUGGUCUGAGAGGAUGGCCAGCCAGACUGGGACUGAGACACGGUGCAAACUGCUCCGGGAGGAAGCAGUGGGGGAUAAUGCCAAAUGGGUGGAAGGCUGAUGCAGCCAUGCCGCGUGGAUGAAGAAGGCCUUCGGGUUGUAAAGUACAUUAAACGGGGAGGCGUAACUCGAAGAAGAAGCACCGGCUAACUCCGUGCCAGCAGCCGCGGUAAUAC